CUAAGUGCAAUUAAGCCUGAAACUUAAAACACAUAUAAAUAGGGAUUUUGCCAUUCGGACUUUCUUAAACUCCAAAACCAUUCGGACUUUGCGAUCAUCCAAGACCACCGACCUUCCACCUUCCGCCACCGUUUUCCGGCAACUCGACCAGCAUCGUCCUUCCUUCUUUCUUAAUCGUAUAGUUCAAUGGAGGAGAAGGGAUUUGAGAUUAUUAUUUCUCUUUGCGGUAUCCUUUUCCACAUUAACUAAUGGCAACAUCUUUUAGUUACUUUGCUUUAUGAAUUAUGAUAUUCACAAUUAUCAUGAUUGUUAGGGAUCUGGGACGACAUUAAUGAAUUAAGAGUUUGUUGUUGUGCACGCGUAGUAGUUAAAUGAUAUGGGGUUCAUUUUAUAAUAUAACCCUAGAGACCUAGACUAUAAAUAUAAACAUACUUAACUAGAUAUAAGUGAAGAGACCUGUUUAUACAUUAUACCAAGGACAAUAAAAUUGCGUCCAAACAUUGGCACUAGAACCUUUGAGUAGUUAUGUCCAAAACACAGAUUUUGAGACCAGUUACAUGACACAAUCUUGUUACUUAUCUUUAAGUCAAGUCACUAGCCUGCUUGAGAAAUCUUGCCUCUUGUGUCUAUGUUAGAAUAGAUAGUAAAGAAUUAAGAAUACCACUGAGUAAUGGUUCUUAUAUUGAUGAAUAACAA